UGCCUAUGAUGUUAUUAUAAUAAUUGCUACUCUUGAUGGGUGCUCCCCAAUUGACCCAUAACCACCAAGAUCGCUGCGGAC
rfam:Triticum aestivum genome assembly, contig: Triticum_aestivum_CS42_TGACv1_scaffold_159610_2DL